rnacentral:rRNA from 1 species
UACAGAGGGUGCGAACGUUGCUCGGAAUUACUGGGCGUAAAGCGCGUGUAGGCGGAUCUCUAAGUCGGGCGUGAAAGCCCCAGGCUCAACCUGGGAACUGCGCUCGAAACUGGAGGUCUUGAGUAUCGGAGAGGGUGGCGGAAUUCCUGGUGUAGAGGUGAAAUUCGUAGAUAUCAGGAGGAACACCGGUGGCGAAGGCGGCCACCUGGACGAUCACUGACGCUGAGACGCGAAAGCGUGGGGAGCAAACAGG